GGAAUGGAUGAGCCGUCGUUUUCAUUGUUCUGCGAUGAAGAACUCCUCUUCUUCUUUUGGCUAACAAUUUUGAAACCAUUUUCACAACCAAAAAGUUUCAAUUACUUAUCGAUGCAACAUCUUCUUCUCACUCUGUCAUCGCUAGAGAAAUUUCAUUUAUAACCCUUCCCUCUAAUCAAAUCCUCCUCUAAUUUCAGAAAAAUUUGUGUUGUCUUUACAUGAAGAAAACCCCAAUGUUAAAAAAUUUCCAUUUUAAUGAUUCAUUAUUUGUUGAUUUUGCAGGUUUGGUCAAUAUACAUGCAGAUUGGAUUUCCCUCCAAAGGGAUAAGAUAAGAACAAGAGGUUUGAACUAAAAGGCAACAAGAAUGUAUUGGGGGAGUUUCACAGUGGCUUUAUGAACAAUGGAGAAAGAACUGGUUCUACUAACCGAAAUUAAUUCAAGGUUUUUCAUUUUACUUGAGAAGAGACUUUUGGUUGUGGAAAAAGGCUUUGCUACACCGCUGCCACAA